rnacentral:misc_RNA from 1 species
AGCAGCCGCGGUAAUUCCAGCUCCAAUAGCGUAUAUUAAAGUUGUUGCAGUUAAAAAGCUCGUAGUUGAAUUUCGGGAUUGACGUGAUGGUCAUGCCUUAAGGGGUAUGAACUGUUACUGUUGAUUUCUCACCUUCUGGAGAAACUUGAUGUCCUUUAUUGGGUGUCUUGCGGAUCCAGGACCUUUACCUUGAAAAAAUUUAGAGUGUUUAAAGCAGGCAUUUUUGCUCGAAUACAUUAGCAUGGAAUAAUAGAAUAGGACGGCAUGGUUCUAUUUUGUUGGUUUCUAGGAUCACCGUAAUGAUUAAUAGGGAUAGUUGGGGGGCAUUAGUAUUCAAUUGUCAGAGGUGAAAUUCUUGGAUUUAUUGAAGGCUAACUACUGCGAAAGCAUUUGCCAAGGAUGUUUUCAUUAAUCAAGAACGAAAGUUAGGGGGAUCGAAGACGAUCAGAUACCGUCGUAGUCUUAACCAUAAACUAUGCCGACUAGGAAUCAGACGAUGUUAAUUUUUUUAAUGACUCGU